AUUGAACGCUGGCGGCAGGCCUAACACAUGCAAGUCGAACGAGCGGCGGACGGGUGAGUAAUGUCUGGGGAUCUGCCUGAUAGAGGGGGAUAACUACUGGAAACGGUGGCUAAUACCGCAUACCAUCGGAUGUGCCCAUAUGGGAUGAGCUAGUCGGUGGGGUAACGGCUCACCUAGGCGACGAUCUCUAGCUGGUCUGAGAGGAUGACCAGCCACACUGGAACUGAGACACGGCCCAGACUCCUACGGGAGGCAGCAGUGGGGAAUAUUGCACAAUGGGCGAAAGCCUGAGGCAGCCAUGCCGCGUGGAUGAAGAAGGUCUUAGGGUUGUAAAGUACUUUUAGCGGGGAGGCGUUACCCGCAGAAGAAGCACCGGCUAACUCCGUGCCAGCGGCCGCGGUAAUUC
rnacentral:rRNA from 1 species